rnacentral:rRNA from 1 species
GAUGAACGCUGGCGGCGUGCCUAAUACAUGCAAGUCGAGCGAAUGGAUUAAGAGCUUGCUCUUAUGAAGUUAGCGGCGGACGGGUGAGUAACACGUGGGUAACCUGCCCAUAAGACUGGGAUAACUCCGGGAAACCGGGGCUAAUACUGGAUCACAUUUUGAAUCGCAUGGUUCGCAAUGGAAAGGCGGCGUCGGCUGUCACUUAUGGAUGGACCCGCGUCGCAUUAGCUAGUUGGUGAGGUAACGGCUCACCAAGGCAACGAUGCGUAGCCGACCUGGGAGGGUGAUCGGCCACACUGGGACUGAGACACGGCCCAGACUCCUACGGGAGGCAGCAGUGGGGAAUCUUGCGCAAUGGGCGAAAGCCUGACGCAGCAACGCCGCGUGGGGGAAGAAGGCCUUCGGGUUGUAAACCUCUUUCAGUAGGGACGAAGCUUCCGGGGUUAAUAGCCUACGGGGUGACGGUACCUACAGAAGAAGCCCCGGCUAACUACGUGCCAGCCGCCGCAGUAA